rnacentral:tRNA from 1 species
CCCCAGCUGGCUCAGUUGGUAGAGCGUUUGGCUCUUGACCUCGGGGUUGUGAGUUCGAGCCCCAUGCUGGGUG